GUGGGUAGUUUGACUGGGGCGGUCUCCUCCUAAAGAGUAACGGAGGAGCACGAAGGUUGGCUAAUCCUGGUCGGACAUCAGGAGGUUAGUGCAAUGGCAUAAGCCAGCUUGACUGCGAGCGUGACGGCGCGAGCAGGUGCGAAAGCAGGUCAUAGUGAUCCGGUGGUUCUGAAUGGAAGGGCCAUCGCUCAACGGAUAAAAGGUACUCCGGGGAUAACAGGCUGAUACCGCCCAAGAGUUCAUAUCGACGGCGGUGUUUGGCACCUCGAUGUCGGCUCAUCACAUCCUGGGGCUGAAGUAGGUCCCAAGGGUAUGGCUGUUCGCCAUUUAAAGUGGUACGCGAGCUGGGUUUAGAACGUCGUGAGACAGUUCGGUCCCUAUCUGCCGUGGGCGCUGGAGAACUGAGGGGGGCUGCUCCUAGUACGAGAGGACCGGAGUGGACGCAUCACUGGUGUUCGGGUUGUCAUGCCAAUGGCACUGCCCGGUAGCUAAAUGCGGAAGAGAUAAGUGCUGAAAGCAUCUAAGCACGAAACUUGCCCCGAGAUGAGUUCUCCCUGACCCUUUAAGGGUCCUGAAGGAACGUUGAAGACGACGACGUUGAUAGGCCGGGUGUGUAAGCGCAGCGAUGCGUUGAGCUAACCGGUACUAAUGAACCGUGAGGCUUAACCUUACAACGCCGAAGGUGUUU
rnacentral:rRNA from 1 species